rnacentral:pre_miRNA from 1 species
AACAGGAGAGUGACAAAUUAGAUUUUUCCUCCUGAUUUUUAGCUUUUUUCUCCAAAAAAAAUUCAAAUCCAACUAAGAAAGUUAAAAAUUAAGAGAAAAAAUCUGAUUUGUCAUACUCCCAUU